rnacentral:rRNA from 1 species
GAUCCUCCCACCCUUUGUGUACCUACCUCUGUUGCUUUGGCGGGCCGCGGUCCUCCGCGGCCGCCCCCCUCCCCGGGGGGGUGGCCAGCGCCCGCCAGAGGACCAUCAAACUCCAGUCAGUAAACGAUGCAGUCUGAAAAACAUUUAAUAAACUAAAACUUUCAACAACGGAUCUCUUGGUUCUGGCAUCGAUGAAGAACGCAGCGAAAUGCGAUAAGUAAUGUGAAUUGCAGAAUUCAGUGAAUCAUCGAAUCUUUGAACGCACAUUGCGCCCUUUGGUAUUCCGAAGGGCAUGCCUGUUCGAGCGUCAUUACAACCCUCAAGCUCUGCUUGGUAUUGGGCACCGUCCUUUGCGGGCGCGCCUCAAAGACCUCGGCGGUGGCGUCUUGCCUCAAGCGUAGUAGAACAUACAUCUCGCUUCGGAGCGCAGGGCGUCGCCCGCCGGACGAACCUUCUGAACUUUUCUCAAGGUUGACCUCGGAUCAGGUAGGUUUCCCGGUUGAACUUAAGCAUAUCAAUAA